GACGAACGCUGGCGGCGUGCCUAAUACAUGCAAGUGAAGUUCAGUGGCGGACGGGUGAGUAACACGUGGGUAACUACCCAUCAGAGGGGGAUAACUACUGGAAACGGUGGCUAAUACCGCACACUGUCGGAUAACUCAUAUGGGAUUCGGUAGUGGGUAAGGUAAUGGCUCACCUAGGCGACGAUCCCUAGCUGGUCUGAGAGGAUGAUCAGCCACACUGGGACUGAGACACGGCCCAGACCACUACGGAGGCAGCAGUGGGGAAUAUUGAGCAAUGGGCGCAAGCCUGAUGCAUCCAUGCCGCGUGUGUGAAGAAGGCCCUAGGGUUGUAAAGUAGUGUCAGUCGGGAGGCGUUACCGACAGAAGAAGCACCGGCUAACUCCGUGCCAGCAGCCGCGGUAAUAC
rnacentral:rRNA from 1 species